AUGACCCUGGUGGCGCGGGUUCUCAGAGCUGGUGGGCGCGAUGCUCAUCUCCUAACAAUAUCCAGACUAUUGGGGAUGAUUGAGUCCCUGCUGAGGCUGGCUUUUUCCACAGCUCUCGCUGGGCUCUUGCUGGAUGCACCGACGGCGAGCUCGCAGACCAUCCGGCAGACUCCAGUGGCCUACAGCGGCUCUCCAGGAGACACCGUGACACUGAGAUGCACUCUGUCGGGCAGCGGUGCCUUUAGUAUGUUCUGGUACCGGCAGCGGGCGGGAGAGCAGCUUCGGAACCUGUUUUAUUCCGUGAGCCCGGGUUCGGUCACACCGCAGGAGGCUGUCGAUGGAUUCACCGCCGUGCGACCCGAGGAAACGCUGUUCCUCCUGAACCUCUCCGAGCUGCAAGUCAGUCACUCGGCCUUGCUUCUCUGCGCCUGGAGUACUCACAGCGGCGCCGACAGAUCCAGGAGCGCUACAAAAACCCAUCAGAAGCGAGAGUCAGGGGAGCGGAAGCCAGCUGGAGGGCUGUAA